rnacentral:rRNA from 1 species
CGUGUAGGCGGUCAGGUAAGUGGAAUGUGAAAGCCCUCGGCUCACCCGAGGAUCUGCAUUCCAAACUGCCUGGCUUGAGUAUGGGAGAGGAUGAGGGGAUUCCUGGUGUAGCGGUGAAAUGCGUAGAUAUCAGGAGGAACACCGGUGGCGAAGGCGCUCAUCUGGCCCAAUACUGACGCUGAGGCGCGAAAGCUAGGGGAGCAAACG